GAGUGGAGCCUGCGGCUUAAUUGUGACUCANACACGGGAUAAACUUAUCAGGGUAAAGAAGGUAUUGGGAUUGACAGAUUGAGAGUUNCUUUGCUUGAUUUAUCUAAUGGUGGUGCAUGGCCGUUCUUAGUUGGUGGAGUGAUUUGUCUGGUUAAUUCCGUUAACGAACGAGACCUUAACCUACUAACUAGUAUCUGGUUUUCCAACUAGAAUACUUCUUAGAGGGACAACGUGUUGUAAACACAUGGAAGUUUAAGGCAAUAACAGGUCUGUGAUGCCCUUAGAUACCCUGAGCCGCACGCGCGCUACAAUGACACUUUCAUCAAGUAUCUGCUGAUCCGAAAGGAUUCCGGCUAAUCUUUUUAGUGAGUGUCGUGCUAGGGAUAGAUCUUUGUAAUUGUGGAUCUUGAACGAGGAAUUCCUAGUAAGCAUGGGUCAUUAGCCCAUGCUGAUUACGUCCCCUGCAAAAUGUACACAUCGCCCGUCGCUUGCUCCGAUUGAGUAAUUCUGGUGAGCCUUCUGGACCAUAGCAGUUUANCUGCGAGGGAAAUAUAAGCAAAGCCA
rnacentral:rRNA from 1 species